CCAUUCUAAGUCUUAAAUCUAUUAGCAUUUAGAUUAGUCUAUUAGUGAAAACAUGUAACUCUAAGUCAUCUUCACCUUAACAGAACAUAGGCAUUAUAAGAAUAUACUCUCCAACUUACCCCUUCUAUUGG